AAGCUUCUAGUUAGAUCUAGAGGAUUGAGAUUGGGGCUUAAAAUGUGUAGCUUAAGUGAUGUAUAGCUCAUAUUGUAUCAUGAGAGACAGGUCUCCCAUGAUAAUUGUCACUGUGCUGUUAUAUUUUAGAAAAUGACUAAAUUGUCCUUUUGCUACAAACCUAUCGAUUUUUUGAAACAUUUAUAAAUGUCAAACUCACAGUACUGUAAUGAAUACCAUGUGUCUACCUGGAUUAACCAUUGCUGAACAUUUUGCUUUAUUUCUUCCCUCCCUCUCCUUUCAGAAGCUGAAUCAUUUGAAAUUAGUUGGAAAAGUGUAAAACUUUACUUC